GUAACAAGGUUUCCGUAGGUGGAACCUGCGGAAGGAUCCAUUUAUUCGACCAAGCCAACCCGGUGACCAUCGUGCCCGAUCUCGAGGAGGACACUCUUCUCGUCGGGGGGCCGGUCUGGAGACUGCCGUUUCCAGUCCGGGCCUUGGGGACGCACACGUCCCGCCGGGUCCUUCGCAAGAGGGACCCGGUUGGGCGUGCCCCAAGGUGGCGUCCCAAGAACUUGGAAACGAAAACUGAAGGUAAGGCUGACCGGUCGAAAGGCCGGCGGCCGCACAAUAUGAAAGACAACUCUCAACAACGGAUAUCUUGGCUCCCGUAACGAUGAAGAACGCAGCGAAAUGCGAUACGUAGUGUGAAUUGCAGAAUUCCGUGAAUCAUCGAGUCUUUGAACGCAAAUUGCGCCUGCGGCCUCGUGCUCAAGGGCAUGUCUGCCUCAGCGUCUUUAUCACUUCUCUCCCACCCUCUCCCGAGAGGGGUGGGAGGAUCUGGUCGUCUCGAUCCUCGCAUCGUGUCGGCUGAAAUGUAGAAGAGCCCUCCACUCGUCAAGGGUAACCGAAAGGUGGCAGCCUCCGGGCCGACCUCACCGGUGCCCGAGUGCCGAGCGGCUCUCGCGCCGGAGAAACAUUCAACUUUUGACCUGAGUUCAGGCAAGACUACCCGCUGAACUUAAGCAUAUCA
rnacentral:rRNA from 1 species